AUGACCAGCCACACUGGAACUGAGACACGGUCCAGACUCCUACGGGAGGCAGCAGUGGGGAAUAUUGCACAAUGGGCGCAAGCCUGAUGCAGCCAUGCCGCGUGUAUGAAGAAGGCCUUCGGGUUGUAAAGUACUUUCAGCGGGGAGGAAGGGAGUAAAGUUAAUACCUUUGUUCAUUGACGUUACCCGCAGAAGAAGCACCGGCUAACUCCGUGCCAGCAGCCGCGGUAAUACGGAGGGUGCAAGCGUUAAUCGGAAUUACUGGGCGUAAAGCGCACGCAGGCGGUUUGUUAAGUCAGAUGUGAAAUCCCCGGGCUCAACCUGGGAACUGCAUUUGAUACUGGCAAGCUAGAGUCUCGUAGAGGGGGGUAGAAUUCCAGGUGUAGCGGUGAAAUGCGUAGAGAUCUGGAGGAAUACCGGUGGCGAAGGCGGCCCCCUG
rnacentral:rRNA from 1 species